AACAAGAUGGCCGAGUUAAGGCAGAAGUUUGUAGCUCUUCCAACGGACCCCAGUCCUCUUGUUA
rnacentral:tRNA from 1 species